CCUACGGGAGGCAGCAGUGGGGAAUAUUGCACAAUGGGAGAAAGCCUGAUGCAGCGACGCCGCGUGAGGGAUGACGGCCUUCGGGUUGUAAACCUCUUUCAGCAGGGACCAAGCGUGAGUGACGUGUACCUGCAGAAGAAGCACCGGCUAACUACGUGCCAGCAGCCGCGGUAAU
rnacentral:rRNA from 1 species